AGAGUUUGAUUAUGGCUCAGGACGAACGCUGGCGGCGUGCCUAAUACAUGCAAGUGGAACGCGUUUUCUAUACCGGAGCUUGCUCCACCAUAGAAAACGAGUCGCGAACGGGUGAGUAACGCGUGAGAAAUCUGCCUCUGAGUGGGGGAUAACUACUGGAAACGGUAGCUAAUACCGCAUAACAAGGUAAAUCACAUGAUUUUCUCUUGAAAGGUGCAAUUGCAUCCCUCAGAGAUGAUCUCGCGUUGGAUUAGCUAGUUGGUAAGGUAAAGGCUUACCAAGGCGAUGAUCCAUAGCCGACCUGAGAGGGUGAUCGGCCACAUUGGGACUGAGACACGGCCCAAACUCCUACGGGAGGCAGCAGUAGGGAAUCUUCGGCAAUGGACGAAAGUCUGACCGAGCAACGCCGCGUGAGUGAAGAAGGUUUUCGGAUCGUAAAGCUCUGUUGUAAGAGAAGAACAGGAGAGAGAGUGGAAAAUUCUCUCCAUGACGGUAUCUUACCAGAAAGGGACGGCUAACUACGUGCCAGCAGCCGCGGUAAU
rnacentral:rRNA from 1 species